GUAGGUGGCAAGCGUUGUCCGGAAUUAUUGGGCGUAAAGCGCGCGCAGGCGGUUCUUUAAGUCUGAUGUGAAAGCCCACGGGCUCAACCGUGGAGGGUCAUUGGAAACUGGAGAACUUGAGUACAGAAGAGGAAAGCGGAAUUCCACGUGUAGCGGUGAAAUGCGUAGAGAUGUGGAGGAACACCAGCGGCGAAGGCGGCUUUCUGGUCUGUAACUGACGCUGAGGCGCGAAAGCGUGGGGAGCAAACAGGAUUAGAUACCCUGGUAGUCCACGCCGUAAACGAUGAGUGCUAAGUGUUAGGGGGUUUCCGCCCCUUAGUGCUGCAGCUAACGCAUUAAGCACUCCGCCUGGGGAGUACGGCCGCAAGGCUG
rnacentral:rRNA from 1 species